rnacentral:rRNA from 1 species
ACGUAGGGUGCAAGCGUUAAUCGGAAUUACUGGGCGUAAAGCGUGCGCAGGCGGUUUUAUAAGAGAGAGGUGAAAGCCCCUAGCUCAACCUUUGAAAUGCAUUUGUGACUGUAUAGCUAGAGUACGGGAGAGGGGGAUGGAAUUCCGCGUGUAGCAGUGAAAUGCGUAGAUAUGCGGAGGAACACCGAUGGCGAAGGCAAUCCCCUGGGCCUGUACUGACGCUCAUGCACGAAAGCGUGGGGAGCAAACAG